UACGUAGGGGCUAGCGUUGUCCGGAAUUAUUUGGGCGUAAAGAGCUUGUAGGCGGUCUGUCGCGUCUGCUGUGAAAAUCCGGGGCUCAACCCCGGACUUGCAGUGGGUACGGGGCAGACUAGAGUGUGGUAGGGGGAGACUGGAAUUCCUGGUGUAGCGGUGAAAUGCGCAGAUAUCAGGAGGAACACCGAUGGCGAAGGCAGGUCUCUGGGCCACUACUGACGUGAGAAGCGAAAGCUGGGGGAGCAACAGG
rnacentral:rRNA from 1 species